rnacentral:lncRNA from 1 species
UUUUUUUUUUCUUCCAGUGCGGAGACAGGGCGAGUGCUAUUCACUGAGCUACACCUCUAGCCCUGGAUUUGUGCUCCCAUGGUGUAUUCAUUCUCUUGGUUUCACCCGGAAGUGACUUCGGCUUCCAUGUCUGUGUUGCUGAGGUCUGGGAGCCCCUUGGCUGCUACUCUUUAUUCCCUUCUUUGCUUCCAGCUUCUCCGGCCUUGGGUUUGGAGGCAUUCCUUGUGAAUAGCACUGAACUGAAUUCCUGAGACAUCUGGCCUGACACGUGUUUUCAUGGGACUGUCAUCUUUCUUCUGUCCCCGUGGUCUCAGCUGGGGGUGAAGGUGCGGUCCCCUCCUCUGUCUGCUGCUUCCCCUUUGGUGUCUGCAGUCUGACUGUGAACCUGAACCUCGAUGCACGCAUCACCUUUCCCUUCCAUCCUGGCAAUUUGUGGACGUUUACUGGGGCUUCAGGACUGAGCCUUGGUGUGUUUUAACCCUUGGAGGGAACCCCCAUCCAUGGCCCCUCUACCUGCUCCUCUCUGUGCUCUCCUCCCCCUCCUGGAACCCUGGCUCCCUGUCCCCAAGGUGCUCUCCACCUUCCCCGACCGCUCCCCACACCCAUGCCCCGUUUCUGCUGCAUGUCGUUCAUGACGGGUUCGCCGCGUCCUGUCUGGUGAACGUGCAUCCGUUGGUAUGUUACCAGUAUUAUACUCGAUAUGUUAUAUUAUUUCUGAGAGCAUAUAUAAUUGUUUAUUGUUAUUUUAUUGUCCAAAUGUGCCUCCCUGUGUACACAUUCAUUUCAUUACAUGAGAACUCUGAUUCUGUGUUCUGUGUCUGAUGUCUAAACUCUGGGGGCUUCGCAGCUCUGUGGGCUGUCUCUGGCUCCGGUUGAUCUUAUUUAGGACACUUUCCUAUGGAUUUGGGUUUUUUCUUGGGAAAUGUUCAUUUCCUUUAUUUUUCACCUGGCAGGGCUCCUCUGAGGUUUGCACUGGAGCCGAUCUUCCAGAGGGCCUGCAUCGCUUCUGAAAGUCUCC